UUGGGGGCGGGCUCAGAUGCCUCCCCAGGAUCCCCCAGGCUUUUCGCUCAUUGUUUUAGGAAGGCAGGCGGUCUCUGGGGUUCACCAGGUCCUGCACCGUCAAUGGGGACAGAACUCACUUCCUGUGACACACCUCCCACCCUCGGGGGUCUUCUCGGCCCCCUCCUCAAGUGGCGUGGUGGUCUUUGUCCCCCCAGGACCUGCAGUCUCACCCCCUCAGAUACAGGCUGGCAAACUGGAAAGGCCCUGGGAAGAAGGACACUGUCUGCUCCCUGUGAGGCCCUCCCCGCCCACAGCUGGGCCAGCCUCCCUCCUUUCACCGCCCUCCCCACUGCCCCGAAGCCGGGCCAGCCUCCCUCCUCCCCACCACAGCUGGGCCAGCCUCCCUCGUUUCACCGCCUGCCCCACCGCCCCAAAGCCGGGCCAGCCUCCCUCCUCCCCACCACAGCUGGGCCAGCCUCCCUUCCUGCCCACAGCUGGGCCAGCCUCCCUCGUUUCACCGCCUGCCCCACUGCCCCAAAGCCGGGCCAGCCUCCCUCCUCCCCACCACAGCUGGGCCAGCCUCCCUCCUCCCCACGCUCACCACAGCCAGGCCAGCCUCCCUUCCCACCCCUCCGCAGCCAGGCCAGCCUCCCUCCUGCCCCCGAGCCCCUUAUGCUGGGCCCUGAAGGCUGCAGCACAGGGCCACCUUGGGUCUGCUCCUGGGGCUUGUGGGCUCCCACAGGCUCCCUGGGUGGCCCCGCCCACCGUGCCCCUGUCUUCCCGCCCCUACUGCUUUGCAUGUCCUGCCUGAUUCAUCUCCUGAGACUGGGGUGAGCCCUGCACUGAGCGUAGCCACGGGGGUGGGGCUGUGUGCCUGGCACACCGAGCGUAGCCCUCCCAGCAGCCUCUGUUCCCAUUUCACAGAUGGAGAAACCGAGGCAAGGUACCUCAGAACCCGGGCCAGAUCCACACAAGGCUCUCGGUCAGUCCCAAAUGGAAGCUCCAGUCCCAGGCCGUGACAUGCAUCAGCUCCCACACCCAGGAUUGUCCCAGAGAAAGCGCUCUGCCCUCCCCGUCCACGGCACCACGAGGGCCAUGGCUGCACUACCGCACCUCUCCAGCUCCAGAGACAUCCCUGAGAGGCAGCCAUCAGGGGUGCCCAGCUGAGGACACGCCUCCUUGGGGACCCUCAUUCCUGAGUCCAUGCCUCCAGAUUCAUGAUCUCAGAGACAACCACAUCCGCAACUGGCAUGUGUCCCCACCGAAGGGGCUCAAGUAAGUGACUGGAGUGACCAGGGUGGAUGGGCCUGGAGUACCUGGGUCUAUAGCCCACACCCAGAGCAGGUAAUAGGGGAGACCUGGGGUACCUGGGUCUGUAGCCCACAUCCAGAGCAGGAGAGAGGGGAGACCUGGAGUACCUGUACCUGUACCUCAGGUACAGUAUCUGAGUCUGUAGCCCACAUCUGAAGCAGGAGAGAGGAGAGGACCAUUUUGGAGUCCACCAGGUAGCUCCAGUAGGACAGGGAGAGGCUGUGUAUGAGAUGGGAUGGGUGGUGGGCCAUGGCUGUGACACUGGAGGGGACAGGGCGGGGAUACCUUCUCAGACUAUGACACUCAGAGGCAAGGUAGGAUCUCGGCCCACACAACAGCACACGGAUGGUGCCCUUAUGGGAGAGGGCGGGGGCCAUGCAUGGGGCCUGUGACAGCUUGGGUGGUGGGGGCCAGGGGAGUUUGGUUUCCUGGGUUACGGAAUGCUGGGUGUGUGUGAAGUAGGAGGCUCCAGCUACACUGUUUCACCAGGGGCUGUGAUCUGGGCCCCACCCUUGUGACUCUGGGGCUUCUGGAUGAUGACCUCUCCCCAGACCUCACCCAUGAUUUCCCCGUGGAUUGGUUAAAAAUUCAAUGCAAGGUCCAAGUCAAUAAUGCACCCAAAAUAAAGCUGAAAGUUACAACCGCAUGCAACAAAACUUAUUGUGACUUAGCCCGGGCGCAGUGGCUCACGCAUGUAAUCCCAGCACUUUGGGAGGCCGAGGCAGGUGGAUCACAUGAGGUCAGGAGUUCGAGACCAGCCUGGCCAACAUGGUGAAACCCCGUCUCUACUGAAAAUACAAAAAUUAGCAGGAUGUGAUGGCAGGCGCUUGUAAUCUCAGCUACUCAGGAGGCUGAGGCAGGAAAAUCACUUGA